rnacentral:tRNA from 1 species
GCCCGGGUAGCUCAGUGGAUAGAGCAGUAGUUUCCUAAACUAUUGGUCGUGGGUUCAAUUCCCGCCCCGGGUA